UACGUAGGGUGCGAGCGUUGUCCGGAAUUAUUGGGCGUAAAGAGCUCGUAGACGGUCUGUCGCGUCGAUCGUGAAAACUUGGGGCUUAACCCUGAGCUUGCGGUCGAUACGGGCAUGACUGGAGUUCGGCAGGGGAGACUGGAAUUCCUGGUGUAGCGGUGAAAUGCGCAGAUAUCAGGAGGAACACCGGUGGCGAAGGCGGGUCUCUGGGCCGAUACUGACGCUGAGGAGCGAAAGCGUGGGGAGCGAACAGG
rnacentral:rRNA from 1 species